GAUGAAUCCAACGAGGUCACAUAUUCUUUGAUUGAGCUGAAAAACAUUGCUAAGAAGGGAAACUCAAGUCCUGCAGCAGCGGAUGAAACAGUUUAUUCUGAAGUCAAACCAGGAACAGUUAUUGGUAAAAAUGCAGCAUAAUAUAAUGUGCAUAUUUGGAUUAGUCACUGUCUUUAUUUAUUUUAUGGAUGGUUAAAUGGGUUAUAAAUGGGUGUAAAAUUUAAAGCAUGGCUUUAAUUCAGCAUCUUUUCAGUUUUUCAUGAAAAAGCUUUACACAUUUGUAACAACAUUUUCUGUCACACAUUUUCCAAUUUAUCUUCAUAAAUAGUUUGAUGUGUUUUAUUUUCACCUGGAUGGAUUUAGUAUGUUUUGUACUUUAAAAGUUUGGUUGACAUAUUUCUACAUCAAUAAACAGCAUUUGCCUGUCA